rnacentral:misc_RNA from 1 species
CAGAGAACAUCGCCCUCACGGGUGACUCUCCAACCCUUUGUUAAUAUACCUUUGUUGCUUUGGCGAGCCGCUUCGGCCACCGGCUCACGCUGGUGAGUGCUCGCCAGAGGACCCCAAAUUCUGAAUAUUAGUGUCGUCUGAGUACUAUAUAAUAGUUA